rnacentral:rRNA from 1 species
CCUACGGGCGGCAGCAGUAGGGAAUAUUGCUCAAUGGGGGAAACGCUGAAGCAGCCACGCCGCGUGGAGGAUGAAGGUUUUCGGAUUGUAAACUCCUUUUGUUAGAGAAGAUAAUGACGGUAUCUAACGAAUAAGCAACGGCUAACUCCGUGCCAGCAGCCGCGGUAAUACGGCGGGUGCAAGCGUUACUCGGAAUAACUGGGCGUAAAGAGCGCGUAGGCGGGAUAGCAAGUCAGAUGUGAAAUCCUAUGGGUUAACCAUAGAACUGCAUUUGAAACUGUUAUUCGAGAGUAUGGGAGAGGUAGGUGGAAUUCUUGGUGUAGGGGUAAAAUCCGUAGAUAUCAAGAAGAAUACUCAUUGCGAAGGCGACCUGCUAGAACAUAACUGACGCUGAUGCGCGAAAGCGUGGGGAGCAAACAGGAUUAGAUACCCGGGUAGUC